rnacentral:rRNA from 1 species
UACAGAGGGUGCGAGCGUUAAUCGGAAUUACUGGGCGUAAAGCGCGCGUAGACGGUUUUGUAAGUCAGAUGUGAAAUCCCUGGGCUCAACCUGGGAAUGGCGAUGGAGACUGCAAGGCUAGAGUUUGGCAGAGGGGGGUAGAAUUCCACGUGUAGCAGUGAAAUGCGUAGAGAUGUGGAGGAACACCGAUGGCGAAGGCAGCCCCCUGGGUCAAAACUGACGCUCAUGCACGAAAGCGUGGGGAGCAAACAGG